AUGGAGGUGAAAAUGCAGAAUGGCUCAUCGAAAACAGGACGAGGGGUUACAGUCAACGGGACAGUGUCCACCCUGAAGAGGCAGCCGAGGCCCAAGACGGCGUCCAGCAGGCAGGAACGCGGCUCCUGUUCUUCAACAGCCUCUUGUCCAGUGUUCUCAGGAUGUCAGAGCGACCUGGACGAAAAGCUGCCGCCCCGCUGUCCAUCCAGCCUUUCCUCGCCCUCCCUGCACAGGCCUGGUUCCACCUCCAAUCCGAAGGGCUCCAUCUCCAGCCUGCAAGGUUCCUUGUCGAGCCUAAAGGGUUCGGUCGUCAGCCUCAAGAGCUUUCCUACGUCCUCGACACUGCAGAGCUCUAGUCUUAGCCUCCGGAGCUCCAGCUCCAGCCAGCGCAGCUCCAGUGAGGACGACAGCUGGGACACCAACAGCUGGAGCUCCGGCGCCACAUGUCUCCUGCGCAGUUCCAUUAAGCAGCACAGUGAAGAGGUUUUCCGGGUGCGCGCAGGCUCUGUGAGUCGACCUGAGGGUACGAGUGAUUCCGAGACAGGCUACCAGAACUCCGACAGCUGCCAGGGAAGUGUGGUGGGAUCGGAGAGCCAGGAGGGAGCGGAGCAGGUCGAUGCGGGGCGGAGGGAUUCGUCAUCAAGUCAGGGAACCUCCGGUGCUUCAACGGCGUCAUCCAACUUAGAGCAGAAGAUUGAAGAGAAGCUCAAGUUUUCUCAGUUUCUUGAUGAGGUUACAUGCAGGGUCCUGGAACCCGAGUGUCUGCAAGCCUUCGGAGUGCCCAUCCGUCAGAAGGAGCCGCCUUGCCCACAAACAUCACCUCCCCAAUGCCUAAACCUAAGCCCAGUUUCCAGUCCUUGGUUUGGUUCCAGUAGGGAUUCUGCCUGUAAUUCCAGGGACAGUAAUGUGUACAAGUGGGCCAAGUGCAUGCCAAGCUGCAAGAUUCUGGAUGCCAGUGAAACCCUGAGAAGAACUCAAGAGGAAAUGGAAAUGUUAGGAAGGACCUACCUAGAGACUGACAUAGACCGAGCACGGAGGGAAGAUGAAGUGAGUUCCACACAUCUACGAGACGUGGAGAAGAGAACUUUACAGACUAGUGGCAAAUCUUCUCGUGGAUGCCCGAGUCCUGUUUCCAAGCGCUCAGACGGGGCACCACGACCACCGCACCGCACCACCUCCCUCCCGAGACCCGCUGCGAGCGGCAUCACGGUGAGUCUCUGA
rnacentral:lncRNA from 1 species